rnacentral:lncRNA from 1 species
CGGCAAGGUAGGGCGCGGCCCGACGGCUGGGCGGACUUGCGCGCUGUCCCGCGGGGACGGCGACCUGGGAGGCGGGGAGCCCGAGCCUGGCUGGGUUCCCGGGACGCGCCGCCCAGGGUCCCCGGUAGCGGACGGGGCUUGGGGUCCCCCAGGGCCGGCGAUCCGCGAGCCCCGGCUGCGCUCCGUAGGCGUCUGCGCUUCCGCUGAGAGCCUGGCGCUCGACUUCGGGUGCUCAGCCUUCGGAAGCGGGGCGCCCGAGGACGAGGGAGGGGAGCAGGGCGGAGGAGCCGCCUGCCCCGGGGUCAGGGCCCAGGGAAACUCGCCCGCCUGCGCCUUGGCCUCUGCGGCCGCCAGGUAUGGCACAGAUGCCCACGUCCGGGCCAAAGGCCGAGGGCCGCAGCGCACCGUCCCGUUCACGCCCCCAUCGCACUGGGGCCGCUCAGUCGCUCGCUUCUCCUCCUCUGGAAACACCGGCUGCCUGCAGCUGGGAGCCGCCGAGGCAAAGCGAGUCCACCACUGCCACAAGGUGGGACUUGCAGGCCCGGUCUCCCCAGACUCGCUGUCUCUCCAUGGUCCCAGCCAGGCCCCAAGAAGCCAUCCUUUGCUCCUUGGCUGCUCAGGGCUGGCGUUUGGAGGGGUGCAGGCCUCCCCUGUACCAGGCUGUGGGCACAGCGGGCAUCCCUGGGGAGCCGCGUGGCCCGUGGCCAGGCGUGGGGCUGUGAGUGGACAAGGCCACCAGAUCGUGGAUGCAGAAGGAUGAGAGAUGCCGCCCCACCGCCAUGCUGAAAAUAAAACCCAGGCACAAAGCAACAAAUACUGGGGAGAAUGUGGAGAGGUUCGAGGGCGGCAGGUGGGAAGACAAAACAGUGCAGCUGCUGCUGUGGAGCCGUGGCAAACAGUUCGGAGAUUCCUCAAAACGUGAACGUGGAAUUAUCCUAGGAUCCAGCAGUUCCACUCCUAGAACGUGGGCAAGGUCCUCACCAAGGGCUGCCGCUAUGUCGUCCUCGGCCUGCAGGGCUUCGCUGCCGCCUACUCUGCCCCCUUCGCAGUGGCCACCAGUGUGGUGUCCUUCGUGCGCUAGAGGACCCCACGCCUUCCGGACCGGAGCUCACGGGACACACAGAUGAGAAAGCUGUCUUCUUUGUCAGAGUGGAUGGAGUCAGGCCUGAGCCCCCCUGCUGCUUCCAGCUCCCGUGGCUCCCGGACACAGUGGCCCUGGGGUCAUCCUGUGGGACUCAGGCGCAGGUCCUAUUUGGCGCCAGGGGCAGUUUGCCCCCAGGACACUUAGAACCUUCAUGGGAGGUGGCAGGCAGGGGUGAGGGUGGAUUUGAGUAGCGUGGGCUGCAGAUGGUCAUUCCAAGGCAGGAAGGACUCUUGUUGGGGUCCUGAGUCCACCCAAUUGUCCCAUGCAGGUCACGGGCUUCCGGGGGCACCCCGGGCCUGGCUGCCUGAAUUCUACAGUUGUUCUCUCCCCACCUCUCCCUCCCAACUCUGUGGCCAGGGGUUUCAUCACAGGCUCGGGAGGAAGGAAGACAGGAGGGACAGAUGGACAAACUCCCUUUGAAGGCUGUGAAGCUUUGCAAAGCGCAUCCCCAGCUGGGCCACAGCUGUAAAGGAAGGGCUCACUGUCUGUCUCCCCACAAGAGUCUCCCCAUGACAUAAGCAGCUAGGGGAAGCACGAGCUCUGGUACCUGGGCACAGCUCCUCUGGGACGCUGCGCUCCUCCCGGUGUCUGGGAGCUGCAGGUGGGGGUGGUGGGAGGAGGGAGCUGGAAGCUGGGGGAGGUGCGGAUCAGAGAAGGAACCAGUAAGUAGCAGAGGGGCUGAGGAUGCAGAUGUAGAGAGGGCAGCAAGGACACCGGAGGAGAGCCGGGCAUCCAGGGCCUGGACAGAGUGUCCAGCCUCGGGGGUCCCAGGGCUGCUGGGCUUGCAGCUCUGGGGUGACCAGGGAGGUGGGCAGGGCGUCGUGCUGGGGAGCUGUGCUCUGCAGCCCACGGGAUCAAGUGGUUGGGCAUGGGGCCCCCACUGGGGCUCGGCGGCCCAGGCUCCUGGACUGGAAGGUUAGGGCGGAUGGGAUCCUGGCCCCUGCCUGGGCAGCCUGGCUGUGUUGGACGUCUAGGGGCUCACAGGGCAGCGGAGGGCGGAGAAGAUCUGACUGCAGCCCGGAGGCAGAUCCAGAGCCUGGACGCUCCUGCCUCCUCCACGCAGCCUGCAGGGCCUGGGAGGCAGGGAAGCUGACAGACAGAUGGACAGACUGAUGCAUGGACGGAUGGACAGGCCGAUGGAUGGACGGAUGGCUGGAAGGGAGAAAGCGGUGGCUGGACACAGGGUGGAGUAGGAGAAGCAAAGCUAGGUUAGGAGACCAGAAAGAUCAGAGCUGUAAAACUGUGCUUUUCAGGAAAACCUGCUUUAGGACACAAAAGUUACUGGAGCCUUUUUUCCUUUCAGUGAACUCAAAUGUCUUGCGGGGUCUUAGAAUACGCCGCUAAAUUGGGCUUUGGGGCCCGUGUGUUUCAAUCUGUCCACUACACAUUCUCCCCAAACUUCCACUCUCUGGGAGGCAGCAGUCACGGAGACUGUGUUCUCAUGAGUAUGUGACCAGCAGUGGGGCCCACACCCGAGACUGCUCCGACCCCAAGCCCUGUAAAGACCCCAGCUGCAGACCAUAGGGCCACCCGGGGGCUGUGCUCUGACUUUCUGUGUACACUUUAAAUUUUUGUCUAAUAAAUUCCUUUAUACCUCUUGCUAAU